AUUUUUUUAUUAUUUUUUUUUUUUGGGUAGCUUCCUACCUAAAAACAAUGAGAAUAAAUCUCCUUAUAAAACCUCACGGCAAGAAUCGGAAGAGUAAGUAAAAAAAGGCCAAAUAAAUGACCACUAAUCCUAGCUCUAAUGGACUUUUAAGUUCUUAUUAAAUAAAAUAAAAAAUAACAGAAAUAAUAAAACUAGUAACUAUGUCUCUCCUCAAAUCCAUUGAAUAGCGUUUCCAUGUCCAUUUGAUAUCCAAAACCGUUGCAGUUUCUUCUUAUUAUAACGCACAAGUCUUGGUGCAAUUAGACUCUUGCUCUACUGGAAAUACUCUAAACACUUGUAAAUGUCAUUUUUCACUUCUUUUCAUGUAACUCCAGUAUUGAUGCGUAAGAAUCAAAACAAUAUAAUUGAGUGCAUUUAACUCAUUUGAAUAUACAAUAUAAGAUGUUAACGUAACUUAACCGUUAUCGUUUAAAUAAAAAAAAGAGGAAAGAAAAGGAAAAAAAGAAGGGAGAUAAUCCUUCCUCCUUCUCAAUUCCUCCCACAUCUCCUUUCUCACUCUCUUUCGCCGCUUUCCAAUCAAACCGAGCCUUUCUUCAACCCCAGGCUGUCUCUCUUUACAUCCCAAAUCUCUCUCUCUCUCUUCUUCCUUGGCUCAUUUUGAGGACGUCCCUCGCCGCAUCUCACUUCCUGGUCAUAGAUCUCGACUUUCCUUCUCUUAUAGUGGAUGGAUCUUCCUUCUUUGUCUCAGCCCCGCUUCCAUCAACAACUUCACCUCCACUUGCUCGUACUCGAUUUGAGAUCUACUCAUUUAGACUAGCCGCCUUCUCGCGUGUUCUUACUUGACUAGCCGACGGCACACCGUCCAUACUUGACCUGAGAUUUUGUUGUGGUCACUCCGAGAGCAAUGGGUUGGUUUUUUCCAUUUUGUUAAUGGGAAACAGGGUCUGAGAUUAAUAUGUAGAAUUUUGAAAGGAAGAAAAAUGGGCUAAGUGUUUAUGAAUUUUGCAAUUCCGAUUUCAAAUUUCUUUUAUUGUAUUUCUGAACAUGUAGAUUUUUUUUUUUGUUAUUUUUUUUUUUUGAGGUGUUUGAUUCUUUGGGGCUUGAUAGUUGUGCCAAAUGUAUUUAUUUUAUUAUUUUUAUUUUUAUUCCCAAGUGCAUGUCCACAUGUGUAGACCGUUUUGUAGCUUUCUAAAGUUUGGGUUCGUGCUUACAUUGUUUGGGAUUACUUUACUUUUCAGGCCUGGGUAUUAUAAAAAGCUUUGCCAUUUCAGAUUAAGAUAAGAUUUGAUUAUGUCUUACAGUUAAUUGUGAUGCCCAUGGCGAGGUGUACAUUUUUUUUCCUUUACACUUAUGUGUUCUAUCAAUUAAACUCCAGACCAACUACUAAUCUCCGAAGUUGUUUGAAUUCCUGUUUGUUAAACGUUGUAGGAAAUGGCUUAUUUUGAGAUAUUCUUUGAAUUCCUGUUUGUUUUAGCCCGACCCAUAGUUUUAUUGGUAUCUUGGACGUGCAUGUAAAACCAAGCUGAAUAUUUCUUACCAAUGGUAUUACUAUUUGAUUUUAUUU